AGCUGUGCCUUUGUUCUGAGUGCCCAGGUCCACUGUUUGAGAGCCGAGGGCCAUUCAGCUCCGGCCGGCGGCGUGGUCCCUGAGGCGACUGCGGGAGCCCUCGGCUUCCGCUAAGCGUUGGAGGAGGAGCAGCAGCGGUGGCGCGCCACACCGUUCUCAGCUGGAAUCCAUUAGGCCGGGAGGAUUUUCGAGAAGAGGUGGCUUGGACAUCCUGGGAAGGACUAUAGGAUACUUCCUGGAGCUAGGCGUCGGGAGGCAGGGUCUCCCAUCACUAAUCCCAGGUGUGCCAAAUACCUCUCUGUUGUCAUUGUGUCGGCCAGCUACCUGGAACAGGAAUCCGACAUUUUCACCUCCUGUUGUUGCAAUGUCACCAGUGUGAAUCCACUGAGGAAGAACAGGCUCACACUUAAGAAGGAAAGUUCCUGAAAUACUUCCUGUCUCUGAGCAUUGUCCUUCCAACAUGCUGUAGUGUGACUUGGGUCUGUAAUCAAGGAAAAGGAGGAGAAGGUGGAACCCAGCAGGCUGACUGUACACAGGUAUGUGCUACUGGGUCUUCUUCCUUCACACGUUUUGUUCUUAGGCAUUACUGAGUCAUGGUGUGUGUGCACAUACAUGUGCAAGCAUAUGGGGAGACUCGCCCGAGGUCAACCUUGGAUAGCAUUCAUUCCUCAGGGGCCACCCACUUUCUGUUUGUUUUCUUUUUUUUAAUUUACAUGUAUCUUGUAUGUAUAAGCAUGUGGAGGUCAGAGGACAAUUUGUGGGAGUCAGUUCUUUCCUUCCCAUGAGGGUCCCUGAAACUGAACUCAGGCCACCAGGUUUCUUAGCAGAUGUCCAACCCACUGGGCCAUCUAGCCUGCCCUCCUUGUCUUUUGAGACUGGGAUAGGAAGCGAGCUGAUUAGGCUUGACUGGCUGGUUAUUAGGCCCCAGAGACCCACUGUCUUGACCUUCCAACUGCUGAAGUUACCAGCGGGCGCCGUCACGUCUGGCUUUUUCCUUUUUACCUGGUUUUGAAGCUGGAACUCGGGCCUUCCUGUUUGCAUGGCAAGCACUUUACUGACUGAGCUGUUUCUCCAGCCUCCUCUUCUCUUUUUAGUAAAGGCAUUAGUCACAGAUUUAAGGUCUGACCUAAAUUCAUGAUGUCUUCUCAAGACCCUUAAUUAUAUAUGUUUAUAUACAUAUAUUCUUUUUUCUUAAUUAUAUCUGCAAAGCCUGUUAUCUCGGGUCAGACUACAUGUCUGGGUGGACAUGACAUUUUGAGCAAGACUCCUCAAAUUGCUGUACUGCAUGAUGCAAGCUUUCAAAUGAAAAUUGAAAACACAUUUUUGAGGCUGUAGGGAGGCUGAAGAGAAAGCCAUCAUCACUUGGGGCCAGUGUGAGUGUGUGGGUGGUGGCAGCUGAGAGCCACAGAGAGACAGGGUGAGGGACAGCUGCCUAUUUUCUGGUCUCUGUAAUGUCAUGAUCCAUCCAAGCAGGACUGACAGGACCAUAUUUGCGGAGAAGGUUAUAUCUCACAUUUAAAACAAAUUUUAUUUAUUGUUAUUACUGUGUUUUGUGUGAUGGAGGGGGGGGGUGCUACAAUGCAUGUCUGGAGGCCAGAGGACAACCUGUAAGUUGGCUCUCUCUAUCCAUCCUCUAUGGGGUCCUAAGGAUCAAACUCAGACAAUCAGGCUUAGAAACAAAGCAGGAUUCCUCCAGUCCCUCCAUUUUCUUUUUAGAAAGAAAAAAGAAAAAUGGCUGAGAUGUCCUGGGAUGUAGGUCAGUAGAACACAGGAAUCCGCAAGGCCUGGGCUCAGUCUACAGAACUCUUCUCCCAAGGAAGGACAAAGGACUCCAGUAGAUUUUCUUCAAAGAUAAGAAAAUCUCCAAUCACCACAUGCUGUAUGCUGAUUUCAUUAGUUCUUGGGGACUGCCAAUCAAAACUACCAACUAUGGUAGGAUUGAGAUGGCUCAGCAGCUUAGAAUACUUGUUGCUCUUCUGUAGGGACCCAUGUUUCCUCCAUCACCCACAUUUGGUUCUCAGACGUUAGGAUGCAGUGCCUUCUUCUGGCCUCCAAAGGCACCAGACACAUCCAUGGUAAAUAGACAUACAUGUAGGCAAAGACACUCAUAAUAUAAAAUAAGGACAUCUUAAAAUCAAAACAAAAUGUUAUGGUAGAUCAUAGGCUGGGGAGGUGGCUCAGGAAAGCGCUCAAGUGCCCAGUGUACACAUGGCCCUGAGGGAAGAGGAGCAAGAUUAUAUCAUUUACACCUAUGGAACCAUUCUAUU
ensembl:lincRNA D930048G16Rik RIKEN cDNA D930048G16 gene